AACAGGAUUAGAUACCCUGGUAGUCCACGCCCUAAACGAUGUCAACUAGCUGUUGGGGCCUUCGGGCCUUGGUAGCGCAGCUAACGCGUGAAGUUGACCGCCUGGGGAGUACGGUCGCAAGAUUAAAACUCAAAGGAAUUGACGGGGACCCGCACAAGCGGUGGAUGAUGUGGAUUAAUUCGAUGCAACGCGAAAAACCUUACCUACCCUUGACAUGUCUGGAAUGCCGAAGAGAUUUGGUAGUGCUCGCAAGAGAACCGGAACACAGGUGCUGCAUGGCUGUCGUCGGCUCGUGUCGUGAGAUGUUGGGUUAAGUCCCGCAACGAGCGCAACCCUUGUCAUUAGUUGCUACGAAAGGGCACUCAAAUGAGACUGCCGGUGACAAACCGGAGGAAGGUGGGGAUGACGUCAAGUCCUCAUGGCCCUUAUGGGUAGGGCUUCACACGUCAUACAAUGGUCGGGACAGAGGGUCGCCAACCCGCGAGGGGGAGCCAAUCCCAGAAACCCGAUCGUAGUCCGGAUCGCAGUCUGCAACUCGACUGCGUGAAGUCGGAAUCGCUAGUAAUCGCGGAUCAGCAUGUCGCGGUGAAUACGUUCCCGGGUCUUGUACACACCGCCCGUCACACCAUGGGAGUGGGUUUUACCAGAAGUAGUUAGCCUAACCGCAAGGGGGGCGAUUACCACGGUAGGAUUCAUGACUGGGGUGAAGUCGUAACAAGGUAACC
rnacentral:rRNA from 1 species